GCUGGACAUACAACCGGAAUGAUCAAAUGUGGAGCUAGAGCUGCCUAGAUACUCUGCUUCAAAGGAUCCAGCUUCAUUUUUAAAACAAGAGUAGGCUGUGCUUCAGUGGACUAAUUUAUGGAAGAUGGAGACCGUGAGGGGCCUUGAAAUUAUAGCUCUGAUCUUUCAGAAACUACCUACCAAGGAUUGGGUCCUGCUGGCAGCAGCAGACUCAGAGUGUGGCUGGCUUAGCUGAGAGAGGAUGAAUCAUUUUAGGAAGAUGGUUCAUUCCAGUCUCUGAAGCAGUUCACGCUGUUGACUCUGGGCAGUAGCAUCUUUUCCUCACCUCGUAUUGCCAGUAACUGGAGCAAUAUGAGGUAGGGAGAAGAUGUCUCCAUGACCUGCUCCUUCAGAAGCUCUGUGCUUCAUCAAUAGUCAACUGAUAAACACUUUCCAGUGCCCAAAGCCAAAGGAUUGUGAUUGUUCUUUAUGUCACUUAUUUCUUUAUAGCUUUCCUUAUGUGGCUUAUUUUCCCCUCCAAUGCUGGAGGAUAAAGGAAUGAGGAAUUACAGUACUUUGGGAAACUUCAAAUGUUCAGAUCCAGCACUGAACUCUAUGAAUAAUUAUCUCCGUGUUGCAAGGUCCUCCAGUAGAAAGAGAAUGAAUAUUUCUGCCAGCUUUAGGGUAAUUUACUAAGGGAGAAAGAAGGCAAUUCCAACUUCCAUGAGCUGUGUCUUUGUACAACAUAAAAUAUCUAAGUCAUAAAUAAAAGUCUUAUAAAUGUUAAGACUAAUGAAAAAAUCAUGUAUCAAUAUGUUCAACACAUUUCUCUUGAUUGAAUAAGGCUUGGAGCAUAAUAUUUCUGUUUUAAAGAUUAUACCUAUACAUUUGUUCUUUCUUUGAUCUAUUUUAUGUCAAAUUUUUGUUCAAUAACAAAUCGUAAGAUUGUUCUUAUGAGAAAAUGUGAUAUUUUAUGAUGAUUCAUUUUAUUUUCUAUCCCUAGGCACUGUAUAGUAAAAAUUUGGAACCACA
rnacentral:lncRNA from 1 species